rnacentral:piRNA from 1 species
UGGAGUCUCAGAAUGGCUCUCAGGGC